GACGAACGCUGGCGGCGUGCCUAAUACAUGCAAGUAGAACGCACAGUUUAUACCGUAGCUUGCUACACCAUAGACUGUGAGUUGCGAACGGGUGAGUAACGCGUAGGUAACCUGCCUGGUAGCGGGGGAUAACUAUUGGAAACGAUAGCUAAUACCGCAUAAUAUUAAUUAUUGCAUGAUAAUUAAUUGAAAGGUGCAAUUGCACCACUACCAGAUGGACCUGCGUUGUAUUAGCUAGUAGGUGAGGUAACGGCUCACCUAGGCGACGAUACAUAGCCGACCUGAGAGGGUGAUCGGCCACACUGGGGCUGAGACACGGCCCAGACUCCUACGGGAGGCAGCAGUAGGGAAUCUUCGGCAAUGGACGAAAGUCUGACCGAGCAACGCCGCGUGAGUGAAGAAGGUUUUCGGAUCGUAAAGCUCUGUUGUAAGAGAAGAACGGGUGUGAGAGUGGAAAGUUCACACUGUGACGGUAUCUUACCAGAAAGGGACGGCUAACUACGUG
rnacentral:rRNA from 1 species